UGUAUGACCAGUAUCACAAUGACGAGUGUCACUGGACUAUUAAGAAAUAUAUAUAUAUAAAUAUGUACAAAUAUUGCAGUGGUAAAUGGAUGAAGUAGUCACUAUCCACAUUCAUGUGUUUUCUUAUGCUGUUUUUUCACAUGUAGGAUGGCACAGUUAUGCGCAAAUUAACAACAUCUACAAGUAUAAAUGUCCAAUGCACUUCGCCUGAGAUUCACUUUAGCAUAAACUGCAUCAUUCCAAUGCGUGUUGGCAUCUGCAUUUGCUACAAGUUAAACACCAAAUAACUACAAAGUUAUGGAGCAACUCGCAAUCACAUUCGGUGGGAAGUGGUCCUUUCUCUGUGUGUGUUGUGGUGGAUCUUUUGGUGCUGGUGCUGGAACUGACUAAUAAAGUAAGUAUAAAAUUGUGACAUUGUAAUGUUAGUGUAUGUAUUAUUAAACAAAUGUAGGUCUUAGUUGUGUGAUGUUAGUGUAUGUAUUAUAAAACACAGUUACUAAAAAUACUUAGCAUCAUUUAUUUUCUCUAUUUUGUACAGUAUGGUGUUGUAACUCAGAGCCCGUCUCCAAGUCGACACAUGGCAGGGUGUCCUCCUCUCUUAGACUUUUUGGUUACUAAAGACUGUUUUAGUUUAGACUU